GUGAACGCUAGCGGUGCGCCUAACACAUGCAAGUCGAGUGGGUUCAGACCCACGGCGAACGGCUGAGUAACACGUUGGUACCUGCCCCGAACUCAGGGAUAACCCCGCGAAAGCGGUGCUAAUACCGGAUGCCCUCGCAAGAGGAAAGAUUUUUCGGUUCGGGAGGGGCCUGCGGCCUAUCAGAUAGUUGGUGAGGUAAUGGCUUACCAAGUCUAUGAUGGGUAGCUGGUCUGAGAGGACGACCAGCCAGAAUGGAACUGAGACACGGUCCAUACUCCUACGGGAGGCAGCAGUGAGGAAUCUUCCGCAAUGGGCGAAAGCCUGACGGAGCGACACCGCGUGAAGGAUGACACCCUUUUGGGCGUAAACUUCUGUUCUGAGGGACGAAAUUUUUGACGGUACCUCAGGAGAAAGCACCGGCUAAUUCUGU
rnacentral:rRNA from 1 species